ACGAACGCUGGCGGCGUGCUUAACGCAUGCAAGUCGAACGGAAAGGCCCUGCUUUUGUGGGGUGCUCGAGUGGCGAACGGGUGAGUAACACGUGAGUAACCUGCCCUUGACUUUGGGAUAACUUCAGGAAACUGGGGCUAAUACCGGAUAGGAGCUCCUGCUGCAUGGUGGGGGUUGGAAAGUUUCGGCGGUUGGGGAUGGACUCGCGGCUUAUCAGCUUGUUGGUGGGGUAGUGGCUUACCAAGGCUUUGACGGGUAGCCGGCCUGAGAGGGUGACCGGCCACAUUGGGACUGAGAUACGGCCCAGACUCCUACGGGAGGCAGCAGUGGGGAAUAUUGCACAAUGGGCGGAAGCCUGAUGCAGCAACGCCGCGUGCGGGAUGACGGCCCUCGGGUUGUAAACCGCUUUCGCCUGUGACGAAGCGUGAGUGACGGUAAUGGGUAAAGAAGCACCGGCUAACUACGUG
rnacentral:rRNA from 1 species